AGAGUAUGAAGUUCAAGAUAAAGCUGCUAACUUUAAUCUUUAGCGGUUUAACUCCGUUAAUAUUCUU
rnacentral:tRNA from 1 species